UCCGCGCCUUUUCUACAGCCCCUCUGACAUCAUGUCCUGGCCCGCCCCCAUUGGCUGCAAAGCUCCUGGCCCAGGCCGCGUGUGCUCGGGAUGGGGGCUCGGAGUGGAGACGGGAGAGGCAUGGCCAGGGUGGGGGGGGGGAGAGCUGGAGUUUUCAUGCUGUUGAGGUUUUGCUGCUAUUUUCCCACUUUUGCAAAAAAAGAAAAAUAAUGCUUCCCGUCCUCCUCAGACCCGUCCCUCUAGGUCACUAACAUCUGAGCACGUGGGGGCCCAGAUACCGGGCAGGGAUCCUAUUCUUUGCUGCAGAGCCAGUGCUGCCUUGCCCGGCGCACCCAGAAGAGAGAGUGCUUGGAGCAGAGAAACAGCAGCCACUCAAACUCAGGUCAGCAUCGUAGGUGACAGGUGAACAAAUCACAGGUCUUGAGUUUCUCUACCCUGCCUCUCUCUGGUAACGUCAUCUCCAGUACCAUCUGCUACCUACCAGCUAAACAGACCAACCACAUAAUGAGGUACCAGCUUCCACCCAGCUACCGUGACUAAAUCAGAACAAAAGAACUCAACGCCUCCUUCAACAAAGGGACACAAGUCUAAGCUGUCUUUGCUAAUUGCUGGGUUUCAGGUUGUCUGUUACAGAAUUUAAGUGAGCUGCAAACUUGCAUCCAUACUUAAUAGCUGUUGGAUAAAGAUAAUGCGAAUAAAAGAUAAAUGGAAACUGAAGGCAAUGAUGCUGUUCUCCUAAAAUGUGAGACAGUUUUCUUCUUGACAGCAAGUGGAGCCCAGCUCUGCAUCUCCCUCAGUCACUGGAGAAAGACUAACAUGCUUCAGAUUCAGUUGCUUUCCAGACGGACUUGAAAUGAUUCAAUGAAAUGAUUACUCCAUUCAUCUAUCACGUUUUAUACUUAUUGUGUAAUAAGUGAGACACUGUGGGUCAUUUUAAAGGAAAAGAGAACAGUGGUGUAAUCCUAUUAAAGACAUCAGACUAUUUAAAAAUAGGACAGAUAUUAACAUCACCCUAAACUGUAAAUGAAUGUAUUUGUAAAGGUGUUUUAACUUUCCAGAGUGAAGCACAUUUUAUGUUGCUGUUUCUUUGCUACACCAUCACUAUCCUUAUCCAGCUAGUGCAGCCUGGUGUAUGAGUCAUAGGAAAUUAUAUUUCUUGCUUAUUAAAGUGGUUUGUCUCAGGAAUAUUUCAGAGUGUAUAUUUUUUUCACUCAUAAAGAUGUUGAGAGAAUAACUGGCAACCUAUUUAAAUACCCUUUGCUUAAGAGAUGUCUAUUACAUUUGCUGGGGAUUUUUUAAAAUUUUAUUGCCUUUCUAAACUGUUAAUUAUGUAUCGAAAUGUAUUGCUGUCACCAGUCUAACAUGAACAAAGCAAUACAGUGAGCUGCCUGAGAUAUUUCAUCAUGGUAUUAAUUACAAGCAUAGUAAUAAAUGAAAAUUCUACAAACCUCUCCAAUUGCAUUUGUAUGUAACCCCAGUGGAUCAAUGUUUUAUAUUAGCACGUGGCAAAAAAUACCAUUCCAGGAACUCAGCAACUAAAUAUGAUCUAAACCCAGCAUCUUUUGGGCAGGGUAGCAUUUCUUGGAUCUAUAAUCUCACCAUUUGCUCCAAUCUGAGUGAGCUCCCUUGCUGUGUCUCAGCAAUACACCUAGUUUAAGACCAUGCAAGCAGCCCACUUUCCAGAAGAUGAUCAGCAAAGAAUGUGUUUUAUUCUGAUUUGGAAAACUGUCAAUCAUUGAUAAAUAAGAUCAGAUAACUAUUACUCUAUAAAAUUAGCUAAUUAUAUUUGCCUGAUUUGCAAGAAGAAUAAACAAUGUUUCUAAGGAAAAUAUUGAGGAUGAUUUACCCAGAUGUUAUAUAGAAAUUGCUUUGUAAUUGAUACAGGCAAUUGGCUUCAGAAAUAAAUACAACCAUGUAACUGUGUGUGUGUGUACACAUAUACACACACAUAUCUCAGACCUAAAUAAGAUAUACUUAGUGUUAGAUUUUUUAGUUUAUAGGACCGUAGGUAUUUGAACAAUUCUGAAAACGCCUUUAUAGGUGUCAGAGAGGGAGGGUUUCAGAGUAGCAGCUGUGUUAGUCUGUAUUCACAAAAAGAAAAGGAGUACUUGUGGCACCUUAGAGACUAACAAAUUUAUUUGAGCAUAAGUUUUCGUGAGCUACAGCUCACUUCAUCGGAUGCGUUCAGUGGAAAAUACAGAGAGGGAGGGGAAUCUUCAACCACAUGAUCUUCUCUCCAGAGUCCUGUUAAGUGUACUGAACUUAAAACAGAAACAAGAAGUGUGAAAUAUAGGUUUGAACAUGAUAUGUCAGAAAUGUAAAGGUUGUAAGCCUUUUUAGUAACCGAUAUUAAUAUUGUAUUAAAUGUGAUGAAAAGGUAGAUGUUAGGGAGAGG